AUUGAACGCUGGCGGCAUGCCUUACACAUGCAAGUCGAACGGCAGCGGACCUUCGGGUGCCGGCGAGUGGCGAACGGGUGAGUAAUAUAUCGGAACGUACCUUUCAGUGGGGGAUAACGUAGCGAAAGUUACGCUAAUACCGCAUACGCCCUGAGGGGGAAAGCGGGGGAUUCUUCGGAACCUCGCGCGAUCGGAGCGGCCGAUGUCGGAUUAGCUAGUAGGUGAGGUAAAGGCUCACCUAGGCGACGAUCCGUAGCGGGUCUGAGAGGAUGAUCCGCCACACUGGGACUGAGACACGGCCCAGACUCCUACGGGAGGCAGCAGUGGGGAAUUUUGGACAAUGGGCGCAAGCCUGAUCCAGCCAUGCCGCGUGAGUGAAGAA
rnacentral:rRNA from 1 species